AAAGCCCUUAUGGGGAAAAGAUUAUCGCGGAAAAAAUCGGCCCGCGUCUGAUUAGCUUAGUUGGUAGGGUAAUGGCCUACCAAAGGGAAUGGACAGGGGCCGGUCUGAGAGGUUCAUCAUCCACAUUAAUUCUGAGACACGCGCCGAACUCUCACAGGAGUUAGCAUUGCGGAGUACUGUACAAUAGGGGCAACCUUGAUCUAGCCAUGCCGAACGAGUGAUGAAGACCGUAGUGUUCUAAAGCUCUUUUGUGCGGGAAGAUAAUGUCGGUCCCGCAAGAAUAAGCCCCUCCUUACUUCGUACCAGCAGCCGGGGCAAUCUGAAGAGGGUUAGGGUGAUUAGGAAUCAGGAGGGUUAAGGGGAGCUUAAGUGGUCUUGUACGUCAGGGGUGAAAUCACACAGCUCAACUCCAGAAGGUCACAAGGUGAUGAAAAUGUGGAGUCCGUGAGAGGUGUGAAAAAGCCGUAUCAGUUCGGAAAAUUUGUAGAAAUUCGCAACCACACCAGUGGAAAAGGUAGCUCA
rnacentral:rRNA from 1 species